GUCAGCUUCGGCCUGGCCCAGCCUAGGCGCUGAGCCUAUUACCUGAAUUGUUGGCCUUGCCCCUCAGUGGGUUCCUGUGUAUUAACCAUUAUCCAUCAUGUUUCAAGCAAGAGACGAGCACAGCUGAUCUUUGGUGGUGAGGACUGGUUGCCAGCUGAGUGAAGAAUGCAAGGUCAGAACAGACGUGUCUUCUCAGCUGGGCUCUGUUGAGACUCCAGUACUUCCAACUGAACUCUCAAAACCCAAUAGAUUGGGCUAAUAGAAGAGCCUGUACCAGACAUCUGUUGGUGUAUUUCUGCUGGACCCAAAGAUAUCCUUCAAUCAACCUGCAACCCAUUCCAACAGAGAGUCAGGUGCAGCUGGUGGCUUUUCUUUAAACCACGUUGGACUUGAAGACCACACACCUCCUCCAGUCUUCCUAUCUUUCCACUCCCGCUCACAAGACUCUGACAUCAGAAGUCUGCGAUCCAGAUGCUGCCGGACUCAGCGCCAGGGCACCACGAAGGAGGCAUCACGCUCCCAUCCAGCCACCUCAUUUUAAGAAGGAUGCUGCAUGGAGGGAAUGAAUUGCAUCUGGGGAAAGAGUAUCCAGGUGGCAGAAAUUAAAAAGAAAGAAAACACACCCACGCCACAAAUUGGAGAACAGAUUGAGGAAGAGACGGAGUAUUUUAGAUUUGGAAUAUUUUAAGUGGCACUAGGAAGGAAAGAUGCUCCAAUCUGCCUCGGUCGCUUCAGGGGGCAGGAUCAGCGGUAACUCCUGAAAUCUCAGGGAGACAAACCUGACUCAAUGGAAGACAGUAUUUUCUCACAACAGGGGCUGUUUAGCUGUGGGAGAGAAGGCCGACUGCGUCUAGUUCUUAGAGUUUAUGUGUUGUCAGGGACUCUGGAGAAACAGGUCAGGAUUCCUAUUUGGAGGGAAUAGAUAAUUACACGAUCUCUAAUGCGUAACUAUGAUUUCUAUUCCACUUCCUAACUCUGUGAUUUCUAUCCGACUUUCUUUUUCUAGGACAAAAUUUUACAACCGAAACAUUAGGAUAUUCAAAUUCAUCUAAUACUUUUAUGCACAAUCAGACCAUGCUGCCGUAGAAACGUGUGUGGUGGAGCAUCUGACUCACAAGGAGCUCUCAAAGGCCUAUUCCUAGUUCCAGAAUUUCAGAGCAAAACUUUUGUG
rnacentral:lncRNA from 12 species